rnacentral:rRNA from 1 species
AUUGAACGCUGGCGGCAUGCCUUACACAUGCAAGUCGAACGGUAACAGGUUAAGCUGACGAGUGGCGAACGGGUGAGUAAUGUAUCGGAACGUGCCCAGUCGUGGGGGAUAACUGCUCGAAAGAGCAGCUAAUACCGCAUACGACCUGAGGGUGAAAGCGGGGGAUCGCAAGACCUCGCGCGAUUUGAGCGGCCGAUAUCAGAUUAGGUAGUUGGUGGGGUAAAGGCUCACCAAGCCGACGAUCUGUAGAUGGUCUGAGAGGACGACCAGCCACACGGGGAGUGAGACACGGACCAGACUCCUACGGGAGGCAGCAGUGGGGAAUUUUGGACAAUGGGCGCAAGCCUGAUCCAGCCAUGCCGCGUGCGGGAAGAAGGCCUUCGGGUUGUAAACCGCUUUUGUCAGGGAAGAAAAGGUUCUGGCUAAUACCUGGGACUCAUGACGGUACCUGAAGAAGAAGCACCGGCUAACUACGUG